rnacentral:rRNA from 1 species
GAUGAACGCUGGCGGCGUGCCUAAUACAUGCAAGUCGAGCGAACAGACGAGGAGCUUGCUCCUCUGACGUUGGCGACGGACGGGUGAGUAACACGUGGAUAGCCUACCUAUAAGACUGGGAUAACAUCGGGAAACCGGAGAUAAUACCGGAUAAUAUAUUGAACCGCAUGGUGCAGUAGUGAAUGACGGCUUUGCUGUCACUUAUAGCUGGAUCCGCGCCGGAUUAGCUAGUUGGUAAGGUAACGGCUUACCAAGGCGACGAUGCGUAGCCGAUCUGAGAGGGUGAUCAGCCACACUGGAACUGAGACACGGUCCAGACUCCUACGGGAGGCAGCAGUAGGGAAUCUUGGGCAAUGGGCGAAAGCCUGACGCAGCAACGCCGCGUGAGUGAUGAAGGUCUUCGGAUCGUAAAGCUCUGUUAUUAGGGAAGAACAACUGUAGAUGUAAACCUGGCCGUCUUGACGGUACCUAAAGAGAAAGCCCCGGCUAACUACGUG